rnacentral:rRNA from 1 species
AGAUUAAGUUAUUAAGGGCGCACGGUGGAUGCCUUGGCACUAGAAGCCGAAGAAGGACGUUACUAACGACGAUAUGCUUUGGGUAGCUGUAAGUAAGCGUUGAUCCAGAGAUUUCCGAAUGGGGGAACCCAACAUGAGUUAUGUCAUGUUAUCGACAUGUGAAUUCAUAGCAUGUCAGAAGGCAGACCCGGAGAACUGAAACAUCUUAGUACCCGGAGGAAGAGAAAGAAAAAUCGAUUCCCUGAGUAGCGGCGAGCGAAACGGGAAGAGCCCAAACCAACAAGCUUGCUUGUUGGGGUUGUAGGACACUCUAUACGGAGUUACAAAAGAACAUGUUAGACGAAUCAUCUGGAAAGAUGAAUCAAAGAAGGUAAUAAUCCUGUAGUCGAAAACAUAUUCUCUCUUGAGUGGAUCCUGAGUACGACGGAGCACGUGAAAUUCCGUCGGAAUCUAGGAGGACCAUCUCCUAAGGCUAAAUACUCUCUAGUGACCGAUAGUGAACCAGUACCGUGAGGGAAAGGUGAAAAGUACCCCGGAAGGGGAGUGAAAGAGAACUUGAAACCGUGUGCUUACAAGUAGUCAGAGCCCGUUUAUGGGUGAUGGCGUGCCUUUUGUAGAAUGAACCGGCGAGUUACGAUCUGAUGCAAGGUUAAGCAGCGAAUGUGGAGCCGUAGCGAAAGCGAGUCUGAAUAGGGCGUUGAGUAUUUGGUCGUAGACCCGAAACCAGGUGAUCUACCCUUGGUCAGGUUGAAGUUCAGGUAACACUGAAUGGAGGACCGAACCGACUUACGUUGAAAAGUGAGCGGAUGAACUGAGGGUAGCGGAGAAAUUCCAAUCGAACUUGGAGAUAGCUGGUUCUCUCCGAAAUAGCUUUAGGGCUAGCCUCAAGUGAUGAUUAUUGGAGGUAGAGCACUGUUUGGACGAGGGGCCCCUCUCGGGUUACCGAAUUCAGACAAACUCCGAAUGCCAAUCAAUUUAACUUGGGAGUCAGAACAUGGGUGAUAAGGUCCGUGUUCGAA